CCUAUAAGACGAGAAGACCCCAUGGAGCUUCAAACCCAACUACACCCCUAACUUCUAUAACCCCCACCCCACGGGACCCUGUAUAGUUGGUUUUAGGUUGGGGCAACCACGGAGCACAACAAAGCCUCCACAAUGAAUGGGACCACCCCCCUUAUCUAAGAGCCACACCCCUAGGAAUUAAAACAUUAAUAUAAAAUGAUCCAUUAUUUGAUCAAUGAACCAAGUUACCCUGGGGAUAACAGCGCAAUCCAUUUCAAGAGCCCCUAUCGACAAA
rnacentral:rRNA from 1 species